AUUGAACGCUGGCGGCAUGCCUUACACAUGCAAGUCGAACGGUAACAGGUCUUCGGAUGCUGACGAGUGGCGAACGGGUGAGUAAUACAUCGGAACGUGCCCGAUCGUGGGGGAUAACGGAGCGAAAGCUUUGCUAAUACCGCAUACGAUCUACGGAUGAAAGCAGGGGACCGCAAGGCCUUGCGCGGACGGAGCGGCCGAUGGCAGAUUAGGUAGUUGGUGGGAUAAAAGCUUACCAAGCCGACGAUCUGUAGCUGGUCUGAGAGGACGACCAGCCACACUGGGACUGAGACACGGCCCAGACUCCUACGGGAGGCAGCAGUGGGGAAUUUUGCGCAAUGGGGGAAACCCUGACGCAGCAACGCCGCGUGAGUGAUGAAGGCUUUCGGGUCGUAAAGCUCUGUCUAGAGGGAAGAAAUGAUAUUGGGUUAAUACCCUGAUUUCU
rnacentral:rRNA from 1 species